AAGCCCGCCCGCCGUCCCAGCCAAUGAGGCUUCCAGGGUGACACGCCUGCACCUGCGCACACUGGGGAGAGGGGCGGAGGGAGAGGCGUUCAUUUGCUGAGCCCUGCUUUGUUUAAAAUCCCCUGUUCUGAGACUGAACUUGGCACAAAGGCAAGAGAAGUGAGUAAUGGAUUUGUCACAGCUGGAAGUAGACGAGAAUGCAGUGAGGAUGCCACGGAGUCCAGAGAAUGUACCAGAUGUCCUGGAGCUGGAGCCACAGAAGGUUCUGAACCCUAAGAGACAUUUGCUUUUAAGAGCUAGAAACUCAGAAGUAAUUGAUCCAGAAUCCUUUGUGGAGUGUCUACUCAUUGGGAAAGAAAAUACACUUCAUCUCAACAGGGAUGCUGUUACUCUAUGAACUGUCCCUGCAACUAUACCCUAGAAAAGAAUAAACAAAAUAAUGUCUUUUCAUGUAUCAUAUAUACUGUUUGUCCUCAAUUUUAUAUCAAGUAGAAAAUAUGAGGUUAAAGCUGUUUAAAACAUUCAUGAAAAAUAACAAUUUCUGAAGUAUCACCACAUUAGGUAUGGGAGGGUUUUAAAUGCCAUAUUCAUUAAAAAUUUGAUGAACUUAGUUUUAUAUUACCUGAUAUGCAUCUUUUAAAAAGCUGUUUUGGUACCAAAUCCAAUACCAGGUACAUUUUACUUCCUGGUGAACAUUCCACACUCUCUCUACAGUAAAAGUUCUGGAUCCAGGCAAGGACAAGUCUUUAGAGCACACAUAAGGCAAUAGCUUGUAAUGCAGUUUGUUUGUCCAAGGAGUUCUUGGCUCUGUAGCAGUGGCAGUAACAGAAAUGUGUCUGGAAGUCCCAAGCCCAGGGAGAUAUGGAAGAAAGACAAUGAAAGAGCAGAUGGAUAUCUUUACAGUGCAAUGAUUUCAGAGCCACACUUGGGGUCAUGCCCAUUUUUUCUAACAGAGAUGUGACAAAGAGGACAGACAGGGGCUAGUGAGAAAAGCAUCUAUCUCGGUGGUUUAAAAAAAAUCUUUUUAGAUUAUCGAAGAUUCUAAAGAUUAAAAUGAAUAUGAUUUUAAUUGUUUAGUCAUAGAAUACAAAAACUUGGUAGCAUUGCUUUAUAGAUAAUAUGUCACAUUUAAUGAUAAAUAACCUGGUUAUCAAGGGUGUAUUCAGCAUAAAAAAUGCAUAUUCUUAUAUUGUUAUUUGUUCUCUUAGAAGCAAGAUAAAAAUCUACAUUAAGACUGUUUGGGGGCUUUCUAAGGAGACUCUUGCCGUGUAUCUUUCAGUAUCUCUCUUUUGUUCUUGAAUUGUUCAUAAUCAUCCAUCACUUCCUGUUUCUACAAUACACUGAUGUCACAUGGGAGUACUGAGACAACUUUAGACUCUUGAUCACUGGAUUUUAAAGUUGUUAAAGUUAUAAAAAUAUUGGUGUGUAUUUUAGGAAUCUCUAAAUUGUGUUGAAAACCAAGUGACUCUGAAUACUAUCAAUUGGGGUCUUCUAAAAAUAAAAAAUAAACAAAACAAACAACUAGAAGACACGUGAGAUAUGUGGAUUUGGAGAAGGGCUAACAGUGUUAGGGUUAAUAGCGAACAUAUAUGCUAAUGGUUGUAUGUUAGAUGAAAAGUAUGUUGUAUGAUGCAGUAUUAGAUGUAGUUGUACUAGCUCAGGGUGGUGGAUAUCCACAGGGCAGACUUGUUUGCUGUGACAGAACAUGUACAACCUAAGCAGUCUUAUAGUAACAACUCAGUGGCAUUGUGCACCUUCAUGUUGUGUAACUGUCAUUACCAUUCAUUUCUAGAACUGUUUAUAUCUUAAACUUGACUCCUGUUACCCCUUUCCACAGUCUUGGUAAUACUAUUCUAUACUUUCUAUGAAUUUGAUUCUUCCAGCUACCUUGUGUGAGUCAAAUCAUACAGUGGCUGCUUUUGUGCAUGACAUAUUUCACUAGAAUAUUGCUCAUGAAGAUCAUCCAUGCUGUAGCAGAACUCCACCUUUUUUCAGGCGGCAUGUGUACACCAUGUUUUGUGUAUCCAUGUAUCUGUUGAUGGACACUUGGCUUGUUUCCAAUUUUGACUACUGUGUGUAAUGCUGCUGUGAACAUUAGCGUACACAUAUCUGUUUUAGCCCAUGCUUCCAAUUCAUUUUGGAAUGUAGCUAGCAGUACCAUUGCUGGCUCAUAUGGCAAUUCUAAAUUUAAGUUUUGAGGACUUGCCGUUCUGUCUUCCAUAGCAGAUGUAUCAUUUUACAUUCCCAUCAACAAUUGCACAAGGGUCCCCAAUUUUCCACACCCUCCCCAGCUCUUAUUUUCAAUAUUGUUUGUUUUUUUAUAACAGACAUUUUAACCAUAUUCUUAUCUGUAGUUCCCUAUGGGAACAAGAAAAAUACUAUCAUGUGCUUAUUUACCAUUGAUUGUAUCUUCUUUGGAGAAGUGUCUAUUAACAUUCUUCACUUAUUUUCCAUUUUCUUUUUGUUUUUUGUUACUGACUGAUACUUGCUUCUAUUUUGAAAGUUAAUUCCUUACAAACUCUUUUGUUGGAAGCAUUAACUUUUUACUCUCUUGUCAUCAUCCUUUGAAGGACUAAAGUCUUAAAUUUUCAUAGUCUAAUUACUCUCUUCUGGUUGUCUAUGGUUUUGCACUGGACCUGGGAAGCUUAAUCAUAAUGCAGCAAUAUUUGAAAACAGUGCUGGUAAAGAAAUGAGUGUGUGAAUGCAAUUUCUUGAUCGCCAAAUGCAAU